UAGGGCGAAAGCCUGAUCCAGCAACGCCGCGUGAGGGAUGACGGCCUUCGGGUUGUAAACCUCUUUCAGCAGGGACGAAGCGCAAGUGACGGUACCUGCAGAAGAAGCACCGGCCAACUACGUGCCAGCAGCCGCGGUAAUACGUAGGGUGCGAGCGUUGUCCGGAAUUAUUGGGCGUAAAGGACGCGUAGGCGGCCUGGUAAGUCGGAUGUCAAAUUCCGGGGCUCAACUCCGGGGCGCCAUCCGAGACUGUCAGGCUCGAGCACGGCAGGGGCGAGUGGAAUUCCCGGUGUAGCGGUGGAAUGCGUAGAGAUCGGGAAGAACACCCGUGGCGAAGGCGGCUCGCUGGGCCGUUGCUGACGCUGAGGCGCGAAAGCGUGGGGAGCAAACAGGAUUAGAUACCCUGGUAGUCCACGCCGUAAACGAUGGGCACUAGGCGUCGGGGGAGCGACCCCCUCGGUGCCGUCGCUAACGCAGUAAGUGCCCCGCCUGGGGAGUACGGCCGCAAGGCUG
rnacentral:rRNA from 1 species